rnacentral:misc_RNA from 1 species
UUGAAUAAACUUGAUAGGUUGUCGCUGGCUCUUAGGAGCAUGUGCACGCCUGUCAUCUUUAUCCAUCCACCUGUGCACCUUUUGUAGUCUUGGAGUAAUGAGUGUGAAUCUAUCGGGAACAAUGUUCCUUCGGAGUUGGGCCUGCCACAAAGUGACUGGCCUUGGCAUUCACGCGAGUUCUCUAAGCCUAUGUCUUUCAUAUACCACAAAGAAAGUCACAGAAUGUAUCACUAGGCCUUUGUGCCUAUAUAUAAUACAAUA